rnacentral:ncRNA from 2 species
ACCAUGACACCCAGCAGCGGUUCCGCCGAAUCCGAAGCGUUCGGCGGAUGCAAAAGGGAACACGGUGCGGCGUACCCAUCAGGGACCAAGACCGUGGCUGCCCCCGCAACUGUAAGCGUCGAGGACGCCCCGAUACGCCACUGGGCCAACUGCCCGGGAAGGCGGGGAAGGUCCGCCGAGGCGCGAGCCAGGAAACCUGCCGCCGCGAGAGAGCACGC